CAUCUAGCAAAACAGCCAAUUAACAAUGUCUAAAUCCUCUACCAGCUCUUUCUUCAUUAGUAUCUUUCUCCUCUAUUUUACCAUGUCCUGCUGCGCCGUUCGCCCUGAGCCAGCUUUUCAUUUGGCCACCCUCAACAAGAUUCUACACCAGGAUGUUGUGGAACCAAAACUAGUUGCAAAGGAAGAACACUGCAAAGGAGUUCAGGACGAAGUUGAAUGUUUAGAAAGGAGGACUUUGGUUGCUCACCUUGACUAUAUCAUACCCAAAAUUAAAAUCCCAAGAACGAAAGUAACUAUUUUUUCAAUUUGACCUUGUUUGUCAUUCAGUUAUAGCCUUGUUGGGAAGACGAAACCCCAUUAUAAUUCUGGGAUUCAUGGAGUGUACUCAAAGAUAGAGAAGAAGAAUAAGAAGAAGAAGAAGAAGGAUUCGUCUUUGACAGAAGGUAAGGUUUGGUCUUCUAGGAUGUUGAUAUAUUUAAUGUCUGAACAUCUUUGUGAAGACUUGAGUAGCUGAGAUCAAGCCACGUGGAGGAAAUCAAUGGUCUUGCACAAACAAAUGUCUCGACCAGACUUUACAGAGACAUUGGGCUUCUGUAUCAAUCUUGGGCUCACAUUCAUUGGGCACAAUGAAUUAAUUCGUUUUCCUUGGGCCUACUAGAAGAGGCUGAAGAUAAGAUUAAGUUUUAUAUUUUGCACACAUUAUUUCUUCUUGUAAAUAGCAUGUGAGUUUGUUAUAGAAUAGCCAAUAGAAUAAGAGACAAGUGUAUAGGUAGUUAUUUCUUAGAUUCCAUUUUUGUUGCAUAUAAGCAGUAGUCUGUACAGUCCCUGAUUCAUUCAUUGGAAUUCCAAUUAAGAAAUUUCUUCUUCAA